GUGCCAGCAGCCGCGGUAAGACGUAGGGCGCGAGCGUUGUCCGGAUUUAUUGGGCGUAAAGAGCUCGUAGGCGGCUUGUUGCGUCAGCUGUGAAAACCCGCAGCUCAACUGUGGGCUUGCAGCUGAUACGGGCAGGCUUGAGUUCGGUAGGGGAGACUGGAAUUCCUGGUGUAGCGGUGAAAUGCGCAGAUAUCAGGAGGAACACCGGUGGCGAAGGCGGGUCUCUGGGCCGAUACUGACGCUGAGGAGCGAAAGCGUGGGGAGCGAACAGGAUUAGAUACCCUCGUAGUCC
rnacentral:rRNA from 1 species